UACGAAGGGGGCUAGCGUUGCUCGGAAUUACUGGGCGUAAAGGGUGCGUAGGCGGGUCUUUUAAGUCAGAGGUGAAAUCCUGGAGCUCAACUCCAGAACUGCCUUUGAUACUGAGGAUCUUGAGUUCGGGAGAGGUGAGUGGAACUGCGAGUGUAGAGGUGAAAUUCGUAGAUAUUCGCAAGAACACCAGUGGCGAAGGCGGCUCACUGGCCCGAUACUGACGCUGAGGCACGAAAGCGUGGGGAGCAAACA
rnacentral:rRNA from 1 species